rnacentral:misc_RNA from 1 species
GGGCAUACUAGGAUAAGGUUUCAGUACUACCUAAGCACUUUUCUGGAUAUAAUACAAAGUUACUGUUUAUCAAAAAAAAUGUGGGCAUAAUAGGAGAGAUGAGAUUAGGAACAAAGAUAUACUGGGAAAGGGGUAAGUGACUUUAUUGGUGGACAAGAUUAAGGAAACAAGAUUGAGAUGGUUUGGGUAUGUGAAGAGGAGUACAGAGGCUCCAGUU